GUAUUUUACAGUUAUUCUGCCAUUGGGAAUAUAAAUCAUAAAAAUCGGUCCAGCUGCUCUUGAGUUAUAAAUAGUCAUCUUCCUUAUGAAUGCUUAUCAUAUUUGUGAUGCUUCGAAGUUAAGAUUUUUCUACUUCUAAAAAUCGUCCAGCAGACCUAACUGAUUUCAUGUUAAAUUCCAUGAAUACAUCAAUAAUGAAAAAACGUUUAAAACAAGUACAGCCAUAUGCAAAAUGCGAACAAAAGGGUACAUGCAAAUGCAGAAAUAUAGGAACAUAGGUUUUAUCGCUGGAAUGAUAGGUACUGUUUCUGUGUACCUGAGGCGUCUAACUUUUCCGAUUGAAGCAAGGACCGGACUAUAAUGAGAUUACAAAAUUUUGACUUCACCUGUCCUCCCUCUCCUUCUACACUCUGCAAUUCCCUCCAUUCUUC